UGAGCUUUGAAUCCUGGCUCAGGACGAACGCUGGCGGCAUGCCUAAUACAUGCAAGUCGAGCGGAGUAAGAAUGGAAGCUUGCUUCCAUUCUUACUUAGCGGCGGACGGGUGAGUAACACGUAGGCAACCUGCCCUCAAGACUGGGAUAACUACCGGAAACGGUAGCUAAUACCGGAUAAUUUCUUUCCUCUCCUGAAGAGAGAAUGAAAGGCGGAGCAAUCUGCCACUUGGGGAUGGGCCUGCGGCGCAUUAGCUAGUUGGUGGGGUAACGGCUCACCAAGGCGACGAUGCGUAGCCGACCUGAGAGGGUGAACGGCCACACUGGGACUGAGACACGGCCCAGACUCCUACGGGAGGCAGCAGUAGGGAAUCUUCCGCAAUGGGCGAAAGCCUGACGGAGCAAUGCCGCGUGAGUGAUGAAGGUUUUCGGAUCGUAAAGCUCUGUUGCCAGGGAAGAACGUCCGGUAGAGUAACUGCUACCGGAGUGACCGGUACCUGAGAAGAAAG
rnacentral:rRNA from 1 species